rnacentral:lncRNA from 1 species
UGAUCUUAUUUAUUACUUAAUAACGAAGACGUAAAAAAGUAAUUAAGAUGGAAAAGUGGAAAAUUGAAGGCUCUAACAACAAUUAUAUCUUAUGGGUGUAACCUAAGUGGUGUAGAAGGGAUGACGAAUUUGAAAGCAAUGACAAAUAAUAAUAAGUGCAUAUUUUGAAUGACAAAUAAGAGAAAAGUAUAGGUUUCAAUGGCGUAUAAGGAAUACUCUCAACCUUUAAAUAAGUAUUGAACUAAACAACAAGAGAAUUUUUAUACAAUAGACCCAAAUGGGUACGGUGCGCAUCGUCCAUUUUCUCCAUCAAUGAUUCAGAUCUUCAUCAUGACACAUGUUUGAUCCAAUGUUAUCAUGAUAAGGUAUCGUGGGUAUUAUAUUACGGUAUUACCUAUUUAAAUGACGGUCAGAUUUCAUCCAUGAUACCUUUUACCCAGCGGUAUCUCGGCCUACCGUAAAAGUGCUCAAUAGUUAAAAGGUCUUGGCCCACAGUAAAAGUGCUCAAUAGUUAAAAGGAUCGAGCUAGUCACAGUUACCAAGACUGAUAAACUUGGUAACUGUACCAGUUGAGUGUUAUGGGAUGAAACUCCUCCCUCUCUUGAUGAAACUUCCUCAUAAUGAUCUUACCAAAUCAGCAAUUUUACUUAUGUGGCAAUAAAUUUAAUGCUCAUAAAACUCCUAUUGAGACUGGCCAUGUCAUGAGACCUUCUCUUGUUGAGAGAAUACUCUGCUCACUCGUACAAUGACGUAGGGCCUAUUUGGGAAGAGGUGUUAAAGUUUAACACCUCCCAUUUAACAUAUUUUUAACAAAAUGGCUGCCAAACACUUGUGUUAAAAGAGUUGUGUUAAAAUUUAACACCUCUCUUUUCAUAAACACAUGGAGGGGUGUUAAAAUUUGCUAAAGGUGUUAAAAGUGGUCCCCCUCCCCACUUAUUCCCUGGUUGCCCCCCCUUCUCUCUCCUCUUCUCUCUCCCCUACCCGCCACUAGCGCGUCCUCCCUCCUGCAUCUGUCCCCCACUCCUUCCCCUCCCGCAUCUGUUCCCC